AUGCUGAGCUCAGUCUGCGUGUCGUCCUUCCGCGGGCGCCAGGGGGCCAGCAAGCAGCAGCCGGCGCCGCCGCCGCAGCCAGCCGAGUCCCCUCAGCCGCCGCCGCCGCUGCCGCCACCGUCUCCGCCACCGCAGCCGCCGCCGCAGCAGCAGCAGCCGCCAGCGCCGCCGCAGCCUGAGCAGCCCGGUCCCGCCGCGUCCCAGGCGGGCACCCCGGUACCCCGAGGGCCCGGGGACCCGCGCGCCGAGCCAUGCCCCGGGCUGCCGGCGGUGGCCAUGGGGCGGCACGGCGGCGGCGGUGGCGACAGCGGCAAGAUCGUGAUCAACGUGGGCGGCGUGCGCCAUGAGACGUACCGCUCCACGCUGCGUACCUUACCGGGGACGCGGCUGGCCUGCCUCACCGAACCCGAGGCGGCCGCGCGCUUCGACUACGACCCGGGCACCGACGAGUUCUUCUUCGACCGGCACCCGGGCGUCUUCGCCUACGUGCUCAACUACUACCGCACGGGCAAGCUGCACUGCCCGUCCGACGUGUGCGGACCGCUCUUCGAGGAGGAGCUGGGCUUCUGGGGCAUCGACGAGACCGACGUAGAGGCCUGCUGCUGGAUGACCUACCGGCAGCACCGCGACGCCGAGGAGGCGCUCGACUCUUUCGAGUCUCCCGACUCGUCGGGCUCCGCCAACGCCGCCAACGCCUCCGGGGGAGCCCACGAAGCGGGACUGGACGACGAGGCGGGCGCGGGCGGCGGUGGCCUGGACGGGGCGGGCGGCGAGCUCAAGCGCCUGUGCUUUCAGGAAGCGGGCGGCGGCGCCGGGGGACCGCCAGGGGGCGCGGGCGGCGCGGGCGGCACGUGGUGGCGGCGCUGGCAGCCCCGCGUGUGGGCGCUGUUCGAGGACCCCUACUCGUCGCGAGCCGCCAGGUAUGUGGCCUUCGCCUCCCUCUUCUUCAUCCUCAUCUCCAUCACCACCUUCUGCCUGGAGACACAUGAGGGCUUCAUCCACAUCAGCAACAAGACGGUGACACAGGCCUCUCCAAUCCCGGGGGCUCCCCCAGAGAACAUCACCAACGUGGAGGUGGAGACAGAGCCCUUCCUGACCUAUGUGGAGGGCGUGUGUGUGGUGUGGUUCACUUUUGAGUUCCUCAUGCGUAUCACCUUUUGCCCAGACAAGGUGGAAUUCCUCAAGAGUAGCCUCAACAUUAUUGACUGUGUGGCCAUCUUGCCCUUCUACCUGGAGGUGGGCCUGUCAGGCCUCAGUUCCAAAGCCGCCAAGGAUGUGCUGGGCUUUCUGCGAGUAGUCCGCUUUGUCCGUAUCCUGCGCAUCUUCAAACUGACCCGACAUUUCGUGGGGCUGCGGGUGCUGGGCCACACGCUCAGGGCCAGCACCAAUGAGUUCCUCCUCCUCAUCAUUUUCCUAGCCUUGGGAGUGCUCAUCUUCGCCACCAUGAUCUACUAUGCGGAGCGCAUAGGCGCAGACCCAGAUGACAUCUUGGGCUCCAAUCAUACCUAUUUCAAGAACAUCCCCAUCGGCUUCUGGUGGGCUGUGGUCACCAUGACAACACUGGGCUAUGGAGACAUGUAUCCCAAGACAUGGUCCGGAAUGCUGGUCGGGGCGCUGUGUGCCCUGGCAGGUGUGCUGACCAUCGCCAUGCCUGUGCCUGUCAUUGUCAACAACUUUGGCAUGUACUAUUCUCUGGCCAUGGCCAAACAGAAGUUGCCCAAGAAGAAAAACAAACAUAUCCCACGGCCCCCGCAGCCCGGAUCGCCCAACUACUGCAAGCCAGAACCCCCGCCUCCACCACCUCCUCACCAUGGCAGCGGUGGCAUAAGCCCCCCGCCACCCAUAACCCCGCCCUCUAUGGGUGUGACUGUGCCUGGGGCCUACCCUCCAGGACCCCACACGCACCCCGGGUUGCUCAGGGGGGGCUCGGGGGCUCUGGGCAUCAUGGGACUGCCACCUCUGCCGGCCCCUGGUGAGCCAUGCCCUCUGGCUCAGGAGGAAGUGGUUGAAAUCAACAGGGCAGAUCCUCGCCCCAAUGGGGAUCCUGCAGCAGCUGCAUUGGCCCAUGAGGACUGCCCGGCUAUUGAUCAGCCAGCCAUGUCCCCAGAAGACAAGAGCCCUGUCACUCCUGGGAGCCGGGGCCGCUACAGCAGGGACCGAGCCUGCUUCCUGGUCACCGACUACGCCCCUUCUCCUGAUGGCUCCAUCCGGAAAGCCACCGGUGCUCCCCCACUACCACCCCCAGACUGGCGUAAGCCAGGCCCCCCAAGCUUCUUGCCCGACCUCAACGCCAACGCUGCAGCCUGGAUAUCCCCCUAGUGGACGAACCCCCUCCCCCCGGGCUCUUGUCACCGCCUGAGACCUCGCGAGACCCUCGGGUCCCCCUGUCCCUCCCCCCAGGUUACGAGAAGUCCCGCAGUUUGAGCAGCAUCGCGGGGCUCAGCGGGGUGUCCCUGCGCCUGGCGCCCCUUGCCACCCCUCCUGGCUCACCCAGGGCUACCCGCAGAGCUCCUCCAACCCUACCUUCCAUCCUUUAGUGCUCCUCUUCCUCCAUGGGGGGACUUGGGGGGUGACCAGGAAGAAGGUCGAGGAGCUGGGUGUGGUGGUGGAGCAACUUCUUUUUUAAGUCAAAGUCACUAAUAAUAUGCAACUGAGGUGAGGACGCCAGCAGACAGCCCCGGGCCCCUCAUCCCACAUAUAAACGGCUCCCCAGGAUAAAGGGGAAGGGACCGGAGCCUGUCCCCCCAACUCUUCCCACUCCAAAACAAAGCCUUCUCAGGUCUCCAUGAGCCAUAGGACAUCCCUGCCAUCAACUCAUGUAAAUAAUUCUAAAUUAUGCCAAUGCCAUCUGGGGGCAUCCUCUUCCCAGUUUGCAUGCCUCCCCGGGCCCUGUGCACCGCCGCCUCCUCAGCAAUAAGCCGCCAGGAGCUGCACAAAGCCGCAAGUUCCAGAGGAGGACACGGGGAGCUGAAGGGGUUUGGUUAGCUUGUAAGGCUCUCCUGGCUUCCUAACCCUUCACUCCAGGAGGACGACCCCACCCAUCACGAAUUGAUUCAGGAAACAAACAAAAACCCAAACUUGUAGAAACUGUAGGGGAGGAAGAAGCGUGGAUUGAGGUGGGCAGCAGGGGCUGCAGAUUUCUCUGGAGGGUUCCACUCCGUCUCUCUUCAGCUGCCUUUAUUGCUGCAUGACUCGGACCUCCCAUCCCCAGAUCCUCCACCUGUCCCCAGGACAUGAGACCUGCACCCUAGAAUUCCUGAGAUGGGCCCUGGCACUCCCCCCACCCCCGCCCACUUCUGUGCAACCCCUGGGCCCCAGCUGCUUUGCGGGGGCUCUUAACAACCCGUCGGAGUGCGCCUGCUCUUCAGCUCUCUUCUAGCCUUUGGGAUGCUGCUCCAAGCCCUUCCCAGAUCCCUGACUUUGCUGGUACAUCCCAUAUCCUCAAGGCUGCCUAUCAGACAGCUCUGACCCCUCUCAUUAGACUCACACGCUCUAGGCUCCUCUGACUCUAGAACUUUCCAUAUAGGCUCAGCCUCUCUGCAAUUCCAGGGAGACACCUAGCCAGUGUCCGUAUUUAGGCUAUUCCACCUUCACCCGAAAGCCUCUUCCCUGGAUGGUGCCAAAAGGUACCCUCUUUUUAUACGGCCACCAGUGUUUCUCACAGCGUGGACUUGUGUCCCUUCGUGGGCUAUAGUUUGCAGACUGGAAACAGUUGUUUCCAAAGAUGCCUGAUCACAUUCGGCUCGAAGAACCAGGCAUUGCUGCGCCGUGUAUUUAGGCCUUUAAAAGCAUUAGUCAUUUAAAGCAAGCCAAGGCUGAGGGUGUAGCUCAGCGGUACAGCGCUUGCCUAGCAUGUGCAAAGUCCUGGGUUCCAUCCCUGGCACCAAACAAAGUCCCAAAGUCAUCCUAGAUUGUGGCCUGCAGGAGAGAUGUGGCCACUCCCACCUCCGCUGGGAUCUCAUCUGCCCUUCCCAGCGUUCCUGGCCCACCAAGCCCCACUCAGGCCAGUGGGACAGUAUCUCAGCUCCCAUCCUGACUUCAGGAUGCUACCUCCCCCAAGCCCACAGGCUACACUGGUCCCAGAAUCCUUAGCUAAUUGAGCUAAUCCUUAGCCCCUUUUGGAGCUAGGGUGAAUUAGCAACCUACCUUACUCCCUCUGCUCCCAUGGCCUCAGGGACACCCCCCCACUGCCACCCGAGGGUGGGUGAUGGCGUCCCCGGUUAUGAUUCUUGAUGCAUUGAUUCCUAUGCAAGGGGCAUUUUGAGGACCCCCAUCUUUCCCUCGGACCCUAAACCCUGGUGAAUCAGGGGUUGGGGGGUGGGGCGGGCUCUGGUGGGGACUGGUAAAGGGCUAGGGGCUUCAGACACCAGGGUAUGGGGUGGGUACUGACGAUGUUGCCAAAGGGUUCAACUUAUUUCAACAGCCCCUAUUUCCUCCCCCCUUUUCUCCCCCCAAAAACCUAGUGGGGCGGGGAAAUGGGGUGAGGUUCUUUUCCAAAGGGUACUGACCUCUUCCCAUCAUCUCCCCCCAGUUCACCACACGUAUUCUGCUUAAAAACACACACACACUCUUAUCAUUAACGUCUACAAAACGUGAUUUUCGUCCCCACCUCUGCAUACCCUCAAGUCAACAGUGUGGGAUUCCCGGGAGGGUCAGCGAGCAAACAGGACUGCUUCCUAGUCCGGCUCUCCCUUUUCCUCCCGGCCGCCAGGGUGCCUGCAACUGCACGCAUGCGCUGCAUGAUGCGCCCCCCACACGCAUGUCGCGCCCCUCCAGCGCUCCGGGAUCGCACG